GAUGAACGCUAGCGGCAGGCUUAAUACAUGCAAGUCGAGGGGUAGCAAGAUUGUAGCAAUACAAUUGUUGACGACCGGCAAACGGGUGCGGAACACGUACACAACCUUCCUACAAGUGGGGAAUAGCCCAGAGAAAUUUGGAUUAAUACCCCGUAACAUAGCGAUGUGGCAUCACAUUGCUAUUAUAGCUUCGGCGCUUGUUGAUGGGUGUGCGGCUGAUUAGAUAGUUGGCGGGGUAACGGCCCACCAAGUCUACGAUCAGUAGCUGAUGUGAGAGCAGGAUCAGCCGCACGGGCACUGAGACACGGGCCCGACUCCUACGGGAGGCAGCAGUAAGGAAUAUUGGACAAUGGACGCAAGUCUGAUCCAGCCAUGCCGCGUGAAGGAUUAAGGUCCUCUGGAUUGUAAACUUCUUUUAUAAGGGACGAAAAAAGGUCUUUCUAGAUCGUCUGACGGUACCUUAUGAAUAAGCACCGGCUAACUCCGUGCCAGCCGCCGCGGUAAAAC
rnacentral:rRNA from 1 species